rnacentral:rRNA from 1 species
AGUGAACGCUGGCGGUAGGCCUAACACAUGCAAGUCGAACGGCAGCACAGUAAGAGCUUGCUCUUACGGGUGGCGAGUGGCGGACGGGUGAGGAAUACAUCGGAAUCUACUUUUUCGUGGGGGAUAACGUAGGGAAACUUACGCUAAUACCGCAUACGACCUACGGGUGAAAGCAGGGGAUCUUCGGACCUUGCGCGAUUGAAUGAGCCGAUGUCGGAUUAGCUAGUUGGCGGGGUAAAGGCCCACCAAGGCGACGGUCCGUAGCUGGUCUGAGAGGAUGAUCAGCCACACUGGAACUGAGACACGGUCCAGACUCCUACGGGAGGCAGCAGUGGGGAAUAUUGGACAAUGGGCGCAAGCCUGGUCCAGCCAUACCGCGUGGGUGAAGAAGGCCUUCGGGUUGUAAAGCCCUUUUGUUGGGAAAGAAAAGCAGCAGGUUAAUACCCCGCUGUUCUGACGGUACCCAAAGAAUAAGCACCGGCUAACUUCGUG